rnacentral:lncRNA from 1 species
GUGUAAUUAUGUCAUAUAUAAUAUAUGAUCAUUUAUAUGUUAUAUAUUAUAAAUAUAUUUGUUUUAUGGUUAUAUAAUACAAAUAAACACUCUUGGGGAAAAAUGUGAAAUUAGAAGAAUGUACUUUUGUUGAACUUAGGAAGGCUGAUAUUGAAUGAUUGCAAUAAAUCUUGAAAAAAUGAACUCUGUAGGUAGGAAAUCAGUGAGAGGGAGGAAGAGAAAGAAAGGGGACAUACUAGGAAUUGAAAUGAAGAAUAUUAUGUUAAGUGCCUCUAGGAACCCCACUAUCACAUAUAACUAGAAUGCACCAAUUAAUAAAAACAAAAAGAAAUUAAAAUGACAUUUUAAAAGUUUGCUCAGUUGGCCACAGUUAGUACAGAAUAUCUUUUAAUGUUCAUAUGUUUUCAGAAUAUUCUCAGAAGUUUUCAGAAGGCAACCACCACUAAGCUGACAACAUUAAAAUUACUAGCACUUUCUUACAUUUACAAGAUUUGCCUAGAUAAAAUCAACUUGAAUUUUACAAAAGGUUUUGCAAGGGUAAGGUUCACACCUCCUUCUAUAUGACCUAUCAAACAAAACAACUCUUACAAUAUUGUGGAGUAAUCUUGAGAAACUUAGUACAACUUUCUACCUAAUUCAAACUAAUUAUUGCCAACAUCCCUAUUUUGAUCAUAUGUUCAUUCCAUAGUUUACACAGCAACAUAAAACAGC